AGCAAAAUAUUCUAAAACAGGGGCCCUCUACAUGUAACUUUCAUACAGUUCAUGUGGGUGUUACUCUGAUGGGCAUGGGAUUCUUCCGCCACAUUUUUUAGCUCAUUUGAAGCUCCAGAAAUGGAAUGCAUUUCUUUGUAAUCAAAAAUCUCUCCUCGGUGCUAGCUGAAAUGCUGCCCGAUCAAGACCAGAACUACUCCUGUCAAUUGGAUUGCGAAAGUCGAUUCGUAUUACGAGAAUUUAGGGCGAUUUCAUAUCUGAUUUCUAAAUUUGGCAUGAUUAGGGUUUGUUACUGUUCAGCGUUUGUUGCGAAUUCUGAGAACGUUGAGUAGCAGCUGUAUGAGCGCGUCCGGAUCGACUCAGUCUGCUGUGUUAAGUAGGUUUCUGUAUCAGCUAUGGCGGACGCUCUGGAUCGUGCAGACGAGGAGCUCGCGUUGAAGAUUCCACGUCUGGGUCGGAUGUGCUGGCCGUGCACUCCUCUGCUGUAUCAAUAAUCUUGGCCUGUAAAAGCCGGUUGAGUUAUUUAUGUUUCUGAAAUAUCUGAAGUAGGACGUUACCACAGUUAUCAAAUUCCAGACGUACACUUUCGCGUGUUGCAAUUUCGAUGGCUGUGUUAUGUUAGGGCCAUCCAUGCUGAAAAGUUUUUUCUGUCCAUGUCACUAAACUUCGUGAGAUCAUGUACUUAUCUUUUCGAAUGUAGGGUGGUGAAGGACGCUCCAGAACAUUUUCUUCGCUCGCAAGAGCUUUCAUGUCGUGAAAAACUAUCAUUCUACAUCGGGCGUUCAAUACCCCGACGGUUCGUAAGUCUUCUUGGUGAUGUUGCUUAGAUAAGGCAAAACAAUUUUGAAGUCUCUUAAUCAGUUUCAUAUCUGAAGCUAAUAUCUGCAGUAAACUUUGUAUUUCUGCAUGUGGUGAUCUUAUUGCGAUGGCAUUCCAUUUUCGUAAAGACGUUGCUUCAAAUAAUAAGUGCAGAUGAUGGUACAGUAGGAUUAGACCAAAUAUAAAUCCAGGUGUGACACAAACUAGAAAGGAAUUGGAUUAGCCUAUAUGAGCUGAUGAAUCAGCCGCACAUGUUCAUUACGAUAGUCACUAGAGGUGCAAUGUACAGUAGAUCUGAUACUGACUGAAAUUCUUGUCUAGAGUUAAGUCUACUUUCUUUAGUUCGGUGGAGAGUUACAUACAUGCUUGCUUAACAGGAUAAAACUAAUUUCUGAAGUUCCAUUUUCGCCUUUGUUCCAUCAUGUCUGGCAUCCUGCUAAUCUGCAGUAAUCCUACCCCAAAUUUAUAAUCUCGGCAUUGUUUGCCAUUGUUUUUUGGACAUGGUAGUAGCAACGGACCCAAAUUCCAAGUAUGCUAACACCUGAAAAUUGAUUUGCAACGCUUUGCAAGUGCACUCCCAUGGUAUUCCUUACAGUUUACUUCCGUCUUCAGUAAGGAAGGACCAAAAAAUGUACCUCAGUUGUAUGAAAGAUUUUGUUUCAUCCACUAACUGCGACAUGGUUUCAGCUUUCUGGAUCCAAUUUAAAUAGGGGAGACUUACGUGUGCAGGCAGCUCCAGGCAAUCGCUAAUUGGGAAGAAAUCUGAGCCUGUGUCAUGCAGCAAUUAAUUUAUUCCUCAGCAGGUUUGGCUCUACGAAGAUUGUUAACUGAAGGUUGAUGAUGUGCAGUUUGGAUGUGGAACACAUUGGAGCAGUACAUGAUCUGGUUAUAACUCAACCACAAUCAUGACGUUUCUGCCAUUCUAGUGUACCAUUGAAGGACUUGAUAUCUGUAGUCAAAUGUAAAUUUCUUCAAAGUACUGUUUGAGAUACACCCUUGCUUGAGAUACUUCUCCUCGCUAUCACGUUAUGUCACAAGAGAAGGUCUCGCCUCCAGGCUAUUCCAAUGCACCAGCUUUUUGUGGUUCUUGUGUUCAGAGUCUAGAAUUUAUUGGUCAAUACAUUCACUAGUCACACAGAAAUUGUAUUACAACUCAAUUCUGUGGAAUCGCUAUUGAGUGACACAGCGGCCACCAUCGUAAGGCUCAAGGUCUAGUGUCUGCUCUAUUAGUGAAGCAGAAAGCAAGGCAUAGGUUCAUUAUCCAAAAACAGUCCGUUGUGCAACUUCUUGUGCAGAAUGUACAAACAGGUACCAAAAGUGCAUCUCCACUAUUGCGCUGAUGAAUAGGGAUUGAGUCGCUCUGUUAUUGACCAUCAAUAUCAAUGGUAGGUGUAAAAAAACGAACAACAGAGCUGGGCGGUGCUAAGAGAGAGGCUGUGAAGCAGAGAUGGACUCUUCCCAUGUCAGUGUCAUGAGUUUCAACUGGAACAAACGCUUUGCAGAUUGAUUGAGUCUUCCAUGGACACCACAGAGAAGCAGGAAAGAGAUAUUAUUUGUUGGAUCUAUCGGAUCCUUACUCUCUCAUCAAUAUCUGAACUUGAUGGACUUGGGUAAGCCCCAAAUGGGGCGGUGUCUCAGAAAGGGAAAGGGUAUUUAAUAGCAUCUGAUUCAAUCAUUUCAGAAUUCCAUUUUUGUGUGUACAAGUACAUUGCAUUGUGACAUGCACCUCUGAAUUUGUACUGCAAUGCUGAACCUGGUCCUUAUCCCCUCCAGAACUUGCUGGUGUUAUAACACUAUCUCUAAAUUCGAAGUCCUUGUGCUAAUGUUGAGAACUUGAAGGAAAGCUUGGGAUCUGAUCACAACCAAGGAAUUGGGUUGCAGUGCUCAAACAUUUUGUGGGCUUCUGCAUUUGGAGGAAGGAUCAAGUCUAAAGCGGUUUUUACCAAACUAAGGUAUUUGUUGCCCUUGGCUUUGAUGCAAGUACUGUCUUCAAGCAUGAGGGUUAUUAUGAGGUUCCACAAGUAUUUUAACGUCUGUGGAAGUUCAUUAUGUUGCAAUAAUCAAAUUUGGCAUGCAUCCACAUCUCAAGCAUUAAACUAGCAUGUGGAAGAGGUCCUAAGUGACCUUUGGUAUUUCUUUUUGAGACAUUGAAGUUUGUGUGUGUGUGUUGUGAAACCUCUACAAAGUUUGUGAUUUUAAAGUUGAACCUUUGAAGUGGUUGGGUGUUUGUAUAUUAAGAUAAACAUCUCAUAGCAUAAUACUGCAUGUUAAUUAUAUUAGUAUAUAUUUUGAUGUAUGUUAGCAGAUUAUGUUUUGUAACUUUAUUUAAAUUAUAAAUUUUUAUCAAAAUGAUUAAUCUUAAAUUAAUUAUUUUGUUGAGUUAGUAUUUA